rnacentral:rRNA from 1 species
AGACCCGAAACCCGGUGAUCUAGCCAUGGGCAGGUUGAAGGUUGGGUAACACUAACUGGAGGACCGAACCGACUAAUGUUGAAAAAUUAGCGGAUGACCUGUGGCUGGGGGUGAAAGGCCAAUCAAACCGGGAGAUAGCUGGUUCUCCCCGAAAGCUAUUUAGGUAGCGCCUCGUGAAUUCAUCUCCGGGGGUAGAGCACUGUUUCGGCUAGGGGGCCAUCCCGGCUUACCAACCCGAUGCAAACUGCGAAUACCGGAGAAUGUUAUCACGGGAGACACACGGCGGGUGCUAACGUCCGUCGUGAAGAGGGAAACAACCCAGACCGCCAGCUAAGGUCCCAAAGUCAUGGUUAAGUGGGAAACGAUGUGGGAAGGCCCAGACAGCCAGGAUGUUGGCUUAGAAGCAGCCAUCAUUUAAAGAAAGCGUAAUAGCUCACUGGUCGAGUCGGCCUGCGCGGAAGAUGUAACGGGGCUAAACCAUGCACCGAAGCUGCGGCAGCGAACGUAUCACCCAAGACAACUUUACGGAGUUGACGAUUGACGGAGCGAAGCGACGUCAAAGCGUUCAUUAAAGUCGAGUUGGCUUAGGGAUACGUUCGUUGGGUAGGGGAGCGUUCUGUAAGCCUGUGAAGGUGUGUCGUGAGGCAUGCUGGAGGUAUCAGAAGUGCGAAUGCUGACAUAAGUAACGAUAAAGCGGGUGAAAAGCCCGCUCGCCGGAAGACCAAGGGUUCCUGUCCAACGUUAAUCGGGGCAGGGUGAGUCGACCC